CCCAAGCAUUUAGUAGAGUGCUGUGCACACAGUAAGCACUCACUGAAUACAAUUGAAUGAAUGAUUGAAUGGAUGAUUCUCCCCGGCCUUUCUCAGGUCUAGCAGGUGAAGGCCGAGUCUUCCCAGGGCCGAAGAUGGCGGCCGGGCCCGUCCUACUCUGCACUCAGACUCCUCAGGCGGCCGAGGAGCAGGGAGGCAGCGGAGCCUAGUCGAUUGAGCCCCGGACCCGAAGGAUCCUGUGAGUCCCGUGCGAGACAGGGACUGGAACCGGCCUGAUUAACGUGUUUCUACCCAGAGCCUAGAACUGUGGUUGACGCAAGAUGAGGGACCUGAGACCCAGAGAAAUGAAG